GCGGCGGACGGGUGAGUAAUGCUUAGGAAUCUGCCUAUUAGUGGGGGACAACAUUCCGAAAGGAAUGCUAAUACCGCAUACGCCCUACGGGGGAAAGCAGGGGAUCUUCGGACCUUGCGCUAAUAGAUGAGCCUAAGUCAGAUUAGCUAGUUGGUGGGGUAAAGGCCUACCAAGGCGACGAUCUGUAGCGGGUCUGAGAGGAUGAUCCGCCACACUGGGACUGAGACACGGCCCAGACUCCUACGGGAGGCAGCAGUGGGGAAUAUUGGACAAUGGGCGCAAGCCUGAUCCAGCCAUGCCGCGUGUGUGAAGAAGGCCUUUUGGUUGUAAAGCACUUUAAGCGAGGAGGAGGCUACCGAGAUUAAUACUCUAGGAUAGUGGACGUUACUCGCAGAAUAAGCACCGGCUAACUCUGUGCCAGCAGCCGCGGUAAUACAGAGGGUGCGAGCGUUAAUCGGAUUUACUGGGCGUAAAGCGUGCGUAGGCGGCUUUUUAAGUCGGAUGUGAAAUCCCUGAGCUUAACUUAGGAAUUGCAUUCGAUACUGGGAAGCUAGAGUAUGGGAGAGGAUGGUAGAAUUCCAGGUGUAGCGGUGAAAUGCGUAGAGAUCUGGAGGAAUACCGAUGGCGAAGGCAGCCAUCUGGCCUAAUACUGACGCUGAGGUACGAAAGCAUGGGGAGCAAACAGGAUUAGAUACCCUGGUAGUCCAUGCCGUAAACGAUGUCUACUAGCCGUUGGGGCCUUUGAGGCUUUAGUGGCGCAGCUAACGCGAUAAGUAGACCGCCUGGGGAGUACGGUCGCAAGACUAAAACUCAAAUGAAUUGACGGGGGCCCGCACAAGCGGUGGAGCAUGUGGUUUAAUUCGAUGCAACGCGAAGAACCUUACCUGGUCUUGACAUAGUAAGAACUUUCCAGAGAUGGAUUGGUGCCUUCGGGAACUUACAUACAGGUGCUGCAUGGCUGUCGUCAGCUCGUGUCGUGAGAUGUUGGGUUAAGUCCCGCAACGAGCGCAACCCUUUUCCUUAUUUGCCAGCGGGUUAAGCCGGGAACUUUAAGGAUACUGCCAGUGACAAACUGGAGGAAGGCGGGGACGACUUCAAGUCAUCAUGGCCCUUACGACCAGGGCUACACACGUGCUACAAUGGUC
rnacentral:rRNA from 1 species